UCGAGAAUUUUUCACAAUGGGGGAAACCCUGAUGGAGCGACGCCGCGUGGAGGAUGAAGGCGUUUUCGUUGUAAACUCCUGUCAAACGGGAACAAGAAAGUGAUAGUGCCGUUAGAGGAAGAGACGGCUAACUCUGUGCCAGCAGCCGCGGUAAUACAGAGGUCUCAAGCGUUGUUCGGAUUCAUUGGGCGUAAAGGGUGCGUAGGUGGCUUGUUAAGUUGAAGGUGAAAUCUCGGGGCUCAACUCCGAAACUGCCUUCAAUACAGGCGAGCUCGAGGACUGUAGAGGAGAAUGGAAUUCACGGUGUAGCAGUGAAAUGCGUAGAUAUCGUGAGGAAGACCAGUGGCGAAGGCGAUUCUCUGGGCAGUUCCUGACACUGAGGCACGAAGGCCAGGGGAGCAAACGGG
rnacentral:rRNA from 1 species